GCAUGGGCUCCACACUGGGAUGAGGAGAGGCCUGCUAUUGCUGUGUGACACUGAUUUUGCUGCUGCACUUUGUCUUUUAGAAAUAAAUCCAGUUUCCAGCCAGUCUGU